CGCGUAGGCGGCUUGUACAGUCAGGCGUGAAAUUCCUGGGCUCAACCUGGGGGCUGCGUUUGAUACGUGCGGGCUUGAGUUCGGAAGAGGGUCGUGGAAUUCCCAGUGUAGAGGUGAAAUUCGUAGAUAUUGGGAAGAACACCGGUGGCGAAGGCGGCGACCUGGUCCGAUACUGACGCUGAGGCGCGAAAGCGUGGGGAGCAAACA
rnacentral:rRNA from 1 species